CGGUCAUUACCAAGGCUUUUAGAAUGCAGUGUCUCAUUGCUGUGGACGUGACCACAGAACUUGUUCCCACAAGGUUUUCUGCUGCUACGCUGCUUGUGUUCAGCCUGUUGGGAAUAUUU